AGAAGUCACACUGCAACUUCACCUGGAAAAGUAUCCUGCCGAUGAAAGGGCCUGCUGACACGGGGAGAGAGAUAGACUCCCAACCAAACCCGAAAACAGACUCUGGACAUUCAAAUGUAAACCAAGCCAGCCAGUCGAGGGGUGCUGGGCCCAGUCACCAGUCCGGCCACAGUGAUGGAUCCCUGCACAGCAACCAGUACCGACACAGAAAGCGGUCCAGGCACAGUGACAGGUCCCAGCAAAGCAAACUGUACCGACACAAGAAGCAGUCCAGGCACAGCGAUUUGUCUAAAGACGAGUUUCAGAAAAAAGUUUUAACUAAAUUGGUGGAUAUCCACAUGGAGGUCAGAAGGCUGGGGAAAAAGCGAGCCUCCCCUGUCAUCCGCCCAUAUAGAGCUACUGGAGACGAUGGAGUUUGAGAGAGAGGAGGAACGCCUCAAGGACAAGCAAGCCUUUGAGUCCCUGGUGAUGCAACUUGCAAGAAUUGGAGGGAAAGAUUUAAGGGAUUGUGUCUACAAAAUUCUUGACAGGCUCUUUACCAACCGGCUAAUGGCAAAAUUCAAUAUGAAGGGAAAGAAGCAGAAACUGCCUCCUGGAGAAGACUACGACUUUUGAAGCAAUUCAAGCUGCAGUCAUGAAAUGGGAUAAAGAAGCUACAGAGGCUACGGUCAAGCAUCAUGCAGCAGGACAUCUCAAACAUGCACCAAGGAAGAAGGGAGGUGGAGGGUAUACAGGGGUGGAAAGUAACUAGGAAUUUUGCACGAGUACUAUAAAGGCUAUUUUAUGGUUCUGUGGAGGCUCCAUGCAAAACUUUCUCCGUAGCCUACGUAAGUGGCCUGAUAUUUAUACUUGUGCGCUGGUGUGUGCGUCGAGCCGGCGUGUG